GAUGAACGCUGGCGGCGUGCUUAACACAUGCAAGUCGAACGAAGCACCUUGGAAUGCGUCUUCGGACAAGUGAAUUGGUGACUUAGUGGCGGACGGGUGAGUAACGCGUGGGUAACCUGCCUCACACAGGGGGAUAACAGUUAGAAAUGACUGCUAAAACCGCAUAACAUGGCGAGACCGCAUGACCUUGCCAUCAAAUAUUUAUAGGUGUGAGAUGGGCCCGCGUCUGAUUAGCUAGUUGGUUGGGUAAUGGCCUACCAAGGCGACGAUCAGUAGCCGGCUUGAGAGAGUGAACGGCCACAUUGGGACUGAGACACGGCCCAAACUCCUACGGGGGGCAGCAGUGGGGGAUAUUGGACAAUGGGGGAAACCCUGAUCCAGCGACGCCGCGUGAGUGAAGAAGUAUUUCGGUAUGUAAAGCUCUAUCAGCAGGGGAGAAGAAAGACGGUACCUGACUAAGAAGCACCGGCUAAAUACGUGCCAGCAGCCGCCGUAAGAC
rnacentral:rRNA from 1 species